AAAGGACACAGCCAGGACAGCUGACCCCAACUGACCAAAGGGAUAUUCCAUACCAUAUAACUUCAUGCUCAGCAGUAAAACUGGGGGGGGGAUUUUUUCUAAGGUUGCUCAGAGACUAGGCAUUGGUCUGCUGGUGGUUGAUCAUGUCUUGGUACCUCUACUGAUGUUGCAUAAAAUGAAUUUGCUUUGAUUGGCCCAACCAUUAGGAUGCAGGUGCCAACACGGAUCAAGAAACUAAUUGGAUCAGCAUUUACUGUGCAGUUCUCAGAGAAAUAGUACUUUUUAAUAUAAUUGCCUUUAGAAGAACAUGAUGAUCAUUUUAAAAAGACCAC